rnacentral:rRNA from 1 species
UACGUAGGGGGGCAAGCGUUGUCCGGAAUUAUUGGGCGUAAAGAGCGUGUAGGCGGUCCGGUAAGUCGGCUGUGAAAGUCCAGGGCUCAACCCUGGGAUGCCGGUCGAUACUGCCGGACUAGAGUUCGGAAGAGGCGAGUGGAAUUCCCCGGUGUAGCGGUGAAAUGCGCAGAUAUCGGGAGGAACACCAGUGGCGAAGGCGGUGCUCUGGGCCGGGAACUGACGCUGAGGAGCGAAAGCGUGGGUAGCAAACAGG